rnacentral:rRNA from 1 species
UACGUAGGGUGCGAGCGUUGUCCGGAAUUAUUGUGCGUAAAGAGCUUGUAGGCGGUUUGUCGCGUCUGCCGUGAAAGCCCAGGGCUUAACCCUGGGUCUGCGGUGGGUACGGGCAGACUAGAGUGUGGUAGGGGAGACUGGAAUUCCUGGUGUAGCGGUGAAAUGCGCAGAUAUCAGGAGGAACACCGAUGGCGAAGGCAGGUCUCUGGGACACUACUGACGCUGAGAAGCGAAAGCAUGGGGAGCGAACGGG